rnacentral:misc_RNA from 1 species
GGUUGAUUGAAAGUUCAUAAUCUUUACAAGCUAGGGAGAGUGAUGUUGACAUAGAACUCAAAUCUUUACCUACAUUGGAUCAGAUAACAGUAAAACUGGGUAAUUUGACAAGCUUAAUCAGAUGUUAGCAUUCACUCUCGACGGAGUUCCAAGCAAAUUUUGAAAAGAAAUAUGGGAAUAUUGCAUCAUUAUUAAAAGUUAGAGCGUAAGAGACAGCUAUAAAGGCCCUUUUAUCCUUAUGGAACCUAACUUAUAGGGUCUUCUCUUUUAAUGACGUAG